GACGAACCGAGCGAACGUUAUUCGGAAUCACUGGGCUUAAAGGGCGCGUAGGCGGGCCGUCAAGUCAGGGGUGAAAGCCCCCAGCUCAACUGGGGAAGUGCCUUAGAUACUGACGGCCUUGAGGAAGGUAGGGGCAUGCGGAACUGUAGGUGGAGCGGUGAAAUGCGUUGAUAUCUACAGGAACUCCGGUGGCGAAAGCGGCGUGCUGGACCUUUUCUGACGCUGAGGCGCGAAAGUUAGGGGAGCAAACGGG
rnacentral:rRNA from 1 species